rnacentral:rRNA from 1 species
CCUGCCAGACCCGACUGCUUUCCGGGUGGGACUAAGCCAUGCAAGUCGAAUGGGAUACCUAAUUUUCCCAUGGCGAACUGCUCAGUAACACGUGAUCAACUUACCCUAAGGAGGAAAAUAACCUCGGGAAACUGAGGAUAAUAUUCCAUAAUUGAGAAUGCCUGGAAGGGUUUCUCAACAAAAGUGCAAUUUAAAUGGUAAUUGCAGCGCCUUAGGAUAGGAUCGCGCCCGAUUAUGGCUGUUGGUGAGGUAACGGCUCACCAAACCAAUUAUCGGUAAGGGCCGUGAGAGCGGGAGCCCUGAGAUGGGUACUGAGACAAUGACCCAGGUCUUACGAGAUGCAGCAGGCGCGAAACCUUCACAAUGCACGAAAGUGUGAUGAGGUUACCCGGAGUGCCACAAAGUGGCUGUGGUAGGUGAGUAAGAUUCCCUACUAGGAAGGAGAGGGCAAGGCUGGUGCCAGCCGCCGCGGUAAAACCAGCUCUUCAAGUGGUCGGGAUGAUUAUUGGGCUUAAAGUGUCCGUAGCCGGUUUAGUAAGUUCCUGGUUAAAUCUGAUAGCUUAACUAUCUGUUCGCUAGGAAUACUACUAUACUAGGGGGCGGGAGAGGUCUGAGGUACUCCAGGGGUAGCGGUGAAAUGCUAUAAUCCUUGGGGGACCACCAGUGGCGAAGGCGUCAGACUGGAACGCGCCCGACGGUGAGGGACGAAAGCCAGGGGAGCGAACCGGAUUAGAUACCCGGGUAGUCCUGGCCGUAAACGAUGCGUGCUAGGUGUUGGUAUGGCUAUGAGCCGUAUCAGUGCCGUAGGGAAACCGUUAAGCGCGCCGCCUGGGGAGUACGGUCGCAAGACUGAAACUUAAAGGAAUUGGCGGGGGAGCACCACAAGGGGUGAAGCCUGCGGUUCAAUUGGAGUCAACGCCAGAAAUCUUACCCGGAGAGACAGCAGAAUGAAGGUCAAGCUGAAGACUUUACCAGACAAGCUGAGAGGUGGUGCAUGGCCGUCGCCAGCUCGUGCCGUGAGAUGUCCUGUUAAGUCAGGUAACGAGCGAGAUCCCUGCCUCUAGUUGCCACCAUUACUCUCAGGAGUAGUGGGGCGAAUUAGCGGGACCGCCGCAGUUAAUGCGGAGGAAGGAAGGGGCCACGGCAGGUCAGUAUGCCCCGAAACUCUGGGGCCACACGCGGGCUGCAAUGGUAACGACAAUGGGUUUCGAAUCCGAAAGGAUGAGGUAAUCCUCAAACGUUACCACAGUUAUGACUGAGGGCUGCAACUCGCCCUCACGAAUAUGGAAUCCCUAGUAACUGCGUGUCAUUAUCGCGCGGUGAAUACGUCCCUGCUCCUUGCACACACCGCCCGUCGUUUCAUUGAAGUGAGCUCUUAGCGAGGUGACGUCUGAUUGGCGUUAUCGAACUUGGGGUUCGUGACAAGGGAAAAGUCGUAACAAGGUGACCGUAGGGGAACCUGCGGUCG